GAGAGCUCAGCUCUGCCCCCUGGGAUAAGGAAGAAGAGGGUCCCAGUUCAUCAUCAGGGGACACCAAGGCAAGAACUCACGGCAGGAACCUGGAGGCAGAGACUGAAGUAGAAGCCAUGGAGGAACACUGCUUACUGACUUGCUGUCCACGGCUCAUCUAUGUUAUAUAGGCCAGGCUCACCUGCCUGGGAAUGGCACCGCUCAUAGUGGGCUGGACCCUCCUAUGCUAAUUAGCAAUCAAGAAAAUCGCCCCGGAUGUGCUUACAGUCCAUUCUAAGGGAACCAUUUCCUCAAAUGAAGUCCCCUCUUCCCAGGUGCCCAUAAAUGCAGUGCCUGCCAAGGACAGAAGAGGACGCCAUUUCCUGCAGCUGGAGUUAUAGGAUGUUGUAAGCCACCCCACAUGGGUGCUGGGAACUGAACUUGGGUCCUCUGGAAGAGUGACAAGCACCCUUAACUGGUAAGCAGGCUCUCUAUCCCCAGUACUUUCAUUCUUUGUAGCUGAAUAAAACUGUCUCGC
rnacentral:lncRNA from 1 species